rnacentral:rRNA from 1 species
ACGGCUGAGUAACGCGUGGGUGACGUACCUGUUGGUGGGGAAUAACUGCCCGAAAGGGUGGCUAAGACCGCAUACGCCCGUGGAUUCGAGACCAUGGGGAAAAACCGCAAGGUUGCCGAUGGAGCGGCCCGCGUUCGAUUAGCUAGUUGGUGGGGUAACGGCCUACCAAGGCGACGAUCGAUAGCUGGUCUUAGAGGAUGAUCAGCCAGACUGGGACUGAGACACGGCCCAG